rnacentral:rRNA from 1 species
UAGUCCACGCCCUAAACGAUGCUAACUCGAUGUUUGGGAGUAAUCUUGAGCAUCCAAGGGAAACCGUUAAGUUAGCCACCUGGGGAGUACGUUCGCAAGAAUGAAACUCAAAGGAAUUGACGGGGGUCCGCACAAGCGGUGGAUGAUGUGGAUUAAUUCGAUGCAACGCGAAAAACCUUACCUACACUUGACAUGUCAGGAACUUUCAAGAGAUUGAUUGGUGCCCGAAAGGGAACCUGAACACAGGUGCUGCAUGGCUGUCGUCAGCUCGUGUCGUGAGAUGUUGGGUUAAGUCCCGCAACGAGCGCAACCCUUAUCCUUAGUUGCUACGCAAGGGCACUCUAAGGAGACUGCCGGUGACAAACCGGAGGAAGGUGGGGAUGACGUCAAGUCAGUAUGGCCCUUAUGCCUAGGGCUGCACACGUACUACAAUGCUCAGUACAGUUUGAACCGAGACCGCAAGGUGGAGGAAAUCACCAAAACUGAGCUCAGUUCGGAUUGAGG